rnacentral:rRNA from 1 species
GAUGAACGCUGACAGAAUGCUUAACACAUGCAAGUCAACUUGAAUUUGGGUUUUUAACUUAGAUUUGGGUGGCGGACGGGUGAGUAACGCGUAAAGAACUUGCCUCACAGCUAGGGACAACAUUUAGAAAUGAAUGCUAAUACCUGAUAUUAUGAUUUUAAGGCAUCUUAGAAUUAUGAAAGCUAUAAGCACUGUGAGAGAGCUUUGCGUCCCAUUAGCUAGUUGGAGAGGUAACGGCUCACCAAGGCGAUGAUGGGUAGCCGGCCUGAGAGGGUGAACGGCCACAAGGGGACUGAGACACGGCCCUUACUCCUACGGGAGGCAGCAGUGGGGAAUAUUGGACAAUGGACCGAGAGUCUGAUCCAGCAAUUCUGUGUGCACGAUGAAGUUUUUCGGAAUGUAAAGUGCUUUCAGUUGGGAAGAAAGAAAUGACGGUACCAACAGAAGAAGUGACGGCUAAAUACGUGCCAGCAGCCGCGGUAAUACGUAUGUCACGAGCGUUAUCCGGAUUUAUUGGGCGUAAAGCGCGUCUAGGUGGUUAUGUAAGUCUGAUGUGAAAAUGCAGGGCUCAACUCUGUAUUGCGUUGGAAACUGUAUAACUAGAGUACUGGAGAGGUAAGCGGAACUACAAGUGUAGAGGUGAAAUUCGUAGAUAUUUGUAGGAAUGCCGAUGGGGAAGCCAGCUUACUGGACAGAUACUGACGCUAAAGCGCGAAAGCGUGGGUAGCAAACAGG